CGUGGCGUUGGCGGCGUUGGGGCUGGCGGCGCUGUUCAAAGCAGCGCCGUGGACGUUCGAGGCGGUACGCUUCGCC
rnacentral:tRNA from 1 species